GACGAACGCUGGCGGCGUGCCUAAUACAUGCAAGUCGAGCGGACAGAAGGGAGCUUGCUCCCGGAUGUUAGCGGCGGACGGGUGAGUAACACGUGGGUAACCUGCCUGUAAGACUGGGAUAACUCCGGGAAACCGGAGCUAAUACCGGAUAGUUCCUUGAACCGCAUGGUUCAAGGAUGAAAGACGGUUUCGGCUGUCACUUACAGAUGGACCCGCGGCGCAUUAGCUAGUUGGUGGGGUAAUGGCUCACCAAGGCGACGAUGCGUAGCCGACCUGAGAGGGUGAUCGGCCACACUGGGACUGAGACACGGCCCAGACUCCUACGGGAGGCAGCAGUAGGGAAUCUUCCGCAAUGGACGAAAGUCUGACGGAGCAACGCCGCGUGAGUGAUGAAGGUUUUCGGAUCGUAAAGCUCUGUUGUUAGGGAAGAACAAGUGCGAGAGUAACUGCUCGCACCUUGACGGUACCUAACCAGAAAGCCACGGCUAACUACGUGCCAGCAGCCGCGGUAAUACGUAGGUGGCAAGCGUUGUCCGGAAUUAUUGGGCGUAAAGGGCUCGCAGGCGGUUUCUUAAGUCUGAUGUGAAAGCCCCCGGCUCAACCGGGGAGGGUCAUUGGAAACUGGGAAACUUGAGUGCAGAAGAGGAGAGUGGAAUUCCACGUGUAGCGGUGAAAUGCGUAGAGAUGUGGAGGAACACCAGUGGCGAAGGCGACUCUCUGGUCUGUAACUGACGCUGAGGAGCGAAAGCGUGGGGAGCAAACAGGAUUAGAUUCCCUUA
rnacentral:rRNA from 2 species